rnacentral:rRNA from 1 species
GCUUAACGCCGGCGGCGUGCAUAACACAUUCAAGUCGAACGGGUGUAGAAAUACAUCAGUGGCGGACGGGUGAGUAACGCGUGAGCAAUCUACCUUCCCGUGCGGAAUAACAACCGGAAACAGUUGCUAAUACCGCAUGAAAUGGCAGUACCGCAUGGUACAACAAUCAAAGGCUUGCUGCUGGAAGAUGAGCUUGGGUCUGAUUAGAUAGUUGGUGGGGUAGCGGACGACCAAGUCGACGAGCAGUAGCCGGACUGAGAGGUUGAACGGCCACAUUGGAACUGAGAUACGGUCCAGACUCCUACGGGAGGCAGCAGUGGGGAAUAUUGGGCAAUGGGCGAAAGCCUGACCCAGCGACGCCGCGUGAGGGAAGAAGAUCUUCGGAUUGUAAACCUUAGUCAACAGGGAAGAAGAAAGUGACGGUACCUGUGGAGGAAGCCACGGCUAACUACGUGCCAGCAGCCGCCGUAAGAC